rnacentral:sRNA from 1 species
UCCUUAAGCAAAUAGAAAAUGGCGACGAAGAACUCAAAGCAAAACAUGUCCGUGUUGUUAACUAAGCUCGGAGAUCGAGAUACUUUCACAAUGGCGGCUCGUGAGCUU